rnacentral:rRNA from 1 species
AUUGAACGCUGGCGGCAGGCCUAACACAUGCAAGUCGAACGAGUGGCGGACGGGUGAGUAAUGUCUGGGAAACUGCCAGAUGGCGGGGGAUAAUUACUGGAAACGGUAGCUAAUACCGCAUACCAUCGGAUGUGCCCAGAUGGGAUUAGCUAGUAGGUGGGGUAAUGGCUAACCAAGGCGACGAUCCCUAGCUGGUCUGAGAGGAUGACCAGCCAAACUGGAACUGAGACACGGUCCAGACUCCCACGGGAGGCAGCAGUGGGGAAUAUUGCACAAUGGGCGCAAGCCUGAUGCAGCCAUGCCGCGUGUAUGAAGAAGGCCUUCGGGUUGUAAAGUACUUUCAGCGGGGAGGCGUUACCCGCAGAAGAAGCACCGGCUAACUCCGUGCCAGCAGCCGCGGUAAUUC